GUUUUGGCUGAAAAUAGCUUCUCUGGAGCCUCAUGACUUCCAAGUUCAAGACUCAACAUUGAAGUCAAUGAAAUUAUCUGACACACUGCAGAAAGCCUUAUGGAAAGAUUCCUGCAGCGGACCCUGGAGUAGUGGUGAAUUUCUCCAUCAAGUCUUCUGUGAAGGCUCUACGACAUUUACCUUCCUCAUUCCAGAAUCUAGGCUAAGGAGCAGUCC